rnacentral:rRNA from 1 species
AUGGAUGGGAAGUACAAGCCUAUACAAAGAGCAAGAGCGUUCUAUAAAAAUGCCAUGAAUUACCACCGGUUCCAUGCUGAUAUGUUUUUGGGUGUCAUUGAUAGGCAACUUCAAGAGCUUAAUAACAGGUUUGAUGAGGUAAACACGGAGCUACUUAGAUGCAUGGCAUCUUUCAGUCCAGCCAAGUCAUUUUCUUCUUUUAAUAUUGAUGACCUAGUUAAGCUUGCUGGGUUCUAUCCUCAUGAUUUUGACUUUGAAGAAAUGCAUCAACUUCCUUUUCAAUUGAAUCUCUAUAUUAGUGAUGUGAGGAAUGAUGAAAACUUUACAAACUUGAGAAGUCUAGCAGAGUUGUCUAUGAUGCUUGUUAGAACAGGGAGGGCUCUUCGGUAUGAUAUUGUUUACAAACUUCUCAAAUUGGUGCUAGUCCUUCCUGUAGCAACAGCCGGUGUUGAGAGGGUCUUUUCAUCAAUGAACUAUAUAAAAAACAAGCUAAGAAGCAAGAUGGGGCAAAAAUACUUGAAUAAUUGCUUGGUCACAUUCAUUGAAAGGGAUUUCUUCUUGCAAGUUAAGGAUGAGGACAUUAUCACUCAUUUUGAAAGCAUCAAGGAUCGCAAAGUUAUCCUGUGA